GUCCUGAAAAGGGAGUCUAGUCCCCAGGCGGGAAUGGGGUUUGUUUGGGAAAUGGCUGUUAUUGUCUUGGUUUCAAAGCUAAACUAUAAACUAAGUUCCUCCCAAAAGUUAGUUCAGCCUGUACCUAGAAAUGAACAAGGACAGCUUGGUGAUUAGAAGCAAGAUGGAGCUGGUUAUGUCAGAUCUCUUUCACUGUAAUAAUUUUCUCAGUUAUGAUUUUUGCAGAGGUGGUUUCAAUGUCUAGCAUUGAAUCAAAGAUCAUCAGACAUGCAAAGAGCAAAAAAACCCAUGAGUUAUAAUGAAGAGAAUAAUUGAAACUAACCCAAAACUGAUACAGAUGACCGAAUUAGCAGAGAAGGAAAAUAAAAGUUAUUAUAACUGUAUUGCACUUGUUCGAACACUUAAGACAUGGAAGAUAUAAAAAGAAGACCAAAAUUGAAUUUCUAUAAAUGAAAACUACAGUGUCUGAGAUGAAAAAUACAAUGGAUGAGAUUAGACAUUACAGAAGAAAAGAUUUGAGGAAGAAACUAUUACUAUUAUUUUUUGGGAAGAACUGAUUAAUUGUAUACUUCCUCAGUAUACUCUUGCCUAGAGUACUGUUGACUUUAUUAUUAUUGCAAGUAUUUGAGAGGAAAUUUAGUGGAUAGGCAUCAUUAAAACUAGCUCAAAAAUAUUUUUUUAUCUGGAAGAUUUCUUGUCAAGGUAUCUUGGGUUACACUUUUGUUGAGAGAAGAUUGUAAAAAGUUAAAGAACGUUGAGCCACCGCAUCUGGCCCAACAUUUAUUUUAAUUACUAGAAAAAGAAACUCUGUAUUACAGAAAAGCAAAUGGGUGCAAGGUACCGCAAAAUCACGACCUACCAAAUGCAGCAUAGGCACAGAAAAAGAACAGUUUAAAUAAGCGGAACCCCUUAUUGAUGAAGAGUUAGAGUUAACACAGGGAUUUACCAAUUGAACUCAGAGAUUUUAACCAGCUUAUCAAAGCUAAUUAAAAUGGGGUUGUGAUAUUGAAAAUAUAGCAAGAGAAGAAGAGGGAAAAAGCUUACGGGAGGUCCUUGAAUACUCAACUGUGUUCUGGGAAAAACGCAAUGAGCUCCAGGACAUAGACAAGAUUAUGGCUCAGAGUGAAAGGGAGAGAUAAGAAUUCAGAGAAUAAUUUGCAUCAGAAAAGCACCUGACAAAAAGAUCAGAUGGUACAAAGCAUCUAGCACCUUUUCUUCAGCUGAGGAUAUCAUGGUACUAUUAUAACAGAGGGAAAA
rnacentral:lncRNA from 1 species